UUACCUUCUAAGAAUUUGAUUCUUUACAUUAAAUUUAAGGAAUCUCUCAUUCACAUGUUAGGGGAUCGAAAUAUGUUCAAUUAGGAUAAGACGGUCUAAGAAUUUGAUUCUCUACCGUACAUUUAUGAAUCUCUCAUUCACAUGUUAGGUGAUCAAAAUCUGUUCAAUUAGGACCGGACAGUCUAAAAAUACAAGUCUUGAUUUUUAUUUUAUAAUUUAAAAUAUUGAACUUAAUUGAACGACCAUUGAUAUUCUGAUUGUGUGAAUGCAGAGAAGAAUUGAUUAAAGUCGAAUCUCUCCAUAUAAAACAAUCUUCUUAGUUAGGGCAAAAAGGAGAAUCAGGAAUUGAGGUCGUAAUUAUUACAUGCAGUAACACACAAUUUUUAAUCUAAGCCGCUAAUCUUAGACCAAACGGUCUAGACUAAAAAUUAUGUUUUUUAGUUAAAUCAAUGUGGGCCGUUAAAUUAAAUCGGACGAUCCAUAUGUAUUACCGUGGUCUGCUGUUACAACAGGAAAUCUGAAUAAAAAAAAGGAAGUUAAACUUGGUUUCAAACAAAGUGGUCUAUUUUUUUACUAAAUUUUAAUGUUUAUAUAUUAAAAGUGCUUAACUAUAUUAAUAGGGCUUUUAUCAGUCAGUCAAUUAUCCUAUUUAAAUGGCAAUAAACCAUUGUUUUUCUCUGUUACUUUCAAUGCUGUUAUGGUCACAAUAACAACCAUAUAUUCUUUAAUAUUAGUAUAUAAUUGCUAUUACCAUUAUUGUCAUUUUUCAAGUUUACUUUGACUACAAGUCUUUUUGAGAGAAAUGUUAGGUUCUCUGAUUUUGGCUUUUUAAACUUUGUCCAAUUCCCACUUCAAAAUUUAAAAAUACCAAGUGGAAACAACUUGAUAUAUCACUGUUACUGACUAGAAAAUUUUGGUUUGCAAAUUGCAGAUGUUUUAGUGAGUACUAAUAGGGAUGGCAUGUAUUCCCUACAGAAGCGCCAAUCAAGGAAGAAUCAAACACAUGUUCAGAAUGACAUGAUUCUUCCUGGAGAGUGGACCUAUUGAAAUUGCAGACUGUAGUAGAUCCAUUUGUAGCUUCUUUUUCAUUAGUUUUAUAACAAAUUCAUGUUAAAAAUGUGUGGUUUCUGCCAAUUAAAGCAGAAUAAAUAAAGUAGUAAUAAAGAAAAGCUGCUUGAAGAGGAAUAAAUAAAUUCCCUAAAUGGCUAAAUCUUGCUUCAGAUUCAUUAGAUUAAGAUAUAGGGAAUUUACUUUGGAUUGUAAUAUUGUAUCAUGAGUAGAUAUAUAUCU
rnacentral:lncRNA from 1 species